AACGAACGCUGGCGGCAUGCCUAACACAUGCAAGUCGAACGAGACCUUCGGGUCUAGUGGCGCACGGGUGCGUAACGCGUGGGAACCUGCCCUUAGGUUCGGAAUAACUCCCCGAAAGGGGUGCUAAUACCGGAUAAUGUCUUCGGGCCAAAGAUUUAUCGCCUUUGGAUGGGCCCGCGUUGGAUUAGCUAGUUGGUAGGGUAAAAGCAUACCAAGGCGACGAUCCAUAGCUGGUCUGUGGGGAUGAUCAGCCACACUGGGACCGAGACACGGCCCAGACUCCUACGGGAGGCAGCAGUGGGGAAUAUUGGACAAUGGGCGAAAGCCUGAUCCAGCAAUGCCGCGUGAGUGAUGAAGGCCUUAGGGUUGUAAAGCUCUUUUACCCGGGAUGAUAAUGACAGUACCGGGAGAAUAAGCACCGGCUAACUCCGUG
rnacentral:rRNA from 1 species